rnacentral:rRNA from 1 species
UUCUAUUCCGGAGAGGGAGCCUGAGAAACGGCUACCACGUCCAAGGAAGGCAGCAGGCGCGCAAAUUACCCAAUCCCGACACGGGGAGGUAGUGACAAUAAAUAACAAUACAGGGCUCUUUUGGGUCUUGUAAUUGGAAUGAGUACAAUUUAGAUACCUUAACGAGGAACAAUUGGAGGGCAAGUCUGGUGCCAGCAGCCGCGGUAAUUCCAGCUCCAAUAGCGUAUAUUAAAGUUGCUGCAGUUAAAAAGCUCGUAGUUGAA